CUGCAGAACGAGUGGCGGACGGGUGAGUAAUGUCUGGGAAACUGCCCGAUGGAGGGGGAUAACUACUGGAAACGGUAGCUAAUACCGCAUACCAUCGGAUGUGCCCAGAUGGGAUUAGCUUGUAGGUGAGGUAACGGCUCACCUAGGCGACGAUCCCUAGCUGGUCUGAGAGGAUGACCAGCCACACUGGAACUGAGACACGGUCCAGACUCCUACGGGAGGCAGAAGUGGGGAAUAUUGCACAAUGGGCGCAAGCCGGAUGCAGCCAUGCCGCGUGGAUGAAGAAGGCCUUCGGGUUGUAAAUUACUUGCAGCGGGGAGGCGUUACCCGCAGAAGAAGCACCGGCUAACUCCGGGCCAGCCGCCGCGGUAAUAC
rnacentral:rRNA from 1 species